AAUUUCGCGAAAUAUAAUGUAAACUUUACGGAUCCUCCGCGAACGAAAAGAUGGGGAGAAAAGCGAACAAAGGCAGUCAUAAUCAACCGAAUUUAGUCUCUUCUGCAUAGCUGGGUGAGAUAAAAGAAAGAAAUCAAUGAAUUCAAGAAAAGAUGGAAAUGUCUUGUCGGCGCAAGCAGAAAUCUCCACGCAGAUUAUCAGAAGACCUUGAAGACAAGCCUACAGAACAAGCUGAAGAACAAAUGAAUCAAACAGAUAAUUCUAUUCCAGAAACCAAAUCUUCCCUGUGCCAUCUAUGCAAUUAUGAGUUUUCUGGGCCCGGACAGCUUGCGAUUCAUCUGAGAUAUGUACACCAGCAGAUAGCCCAAAUUUCACCCAAGGUCAAGAAGGGGUCAGAGGGUCAAAGGUCAACUGAGAAAGGAGGAGAAAAGGGCAGCAGACAUGAGUCAGAUUGUCAGCACAGCAGAUCGAGUCCUCUACAAGGUAAGUUUAUAAGAUUGAUGGAGACACCAUUCCAUGAAACAAAUGUUCAGUGAUUUUCACUGAUUAUCUGUUAUAAGCUACUGAAAUCCUUGCGUCUGAUUGGCUGAGAGCAAAGUUUGUUUAAAAUCACUGAGAAGAUGCUUCAUGAAACAGUUCCCUAUUAAUUCCCAGGCAUUUGGGGCCGUCGUGGUCUAGUGGUUAAGACCCAUCUUUCAAUCUGAGAGACGUGGGUUCGAUUCCAAGCCAAGUUGUGUUUUCCUUCAGCAAGAAAUUUACCCACAUUGUGCUCCACUCAACCCAGGUGAGGUGAAUGGGUACCAGCAGGAAGUACAUUUAAUUCCUCAAAAAGCUGCGAGCACCGGAAUCGGUAGACUAGCUUAGCUGUGGUAAUAUAGGAGCCCCUUAAGCACCUAAGAAGGUGGAUAUGUGCGCUAUAUAAAUCCUAUAUUAUUUCUAUUUAUUUAGUUGCUGCCUAUUUCCAGUGGGUUAGAGUGAUAGUCCAGGCUCCCACUUCAUGAAGAUUUACCAUGUGUGUGGAAACCUUGAUUGUGUAGGGCUGCUUAGCCCUGUUACCAUGGUAAUUGCCUUAAGUUACCAUGGUUGUACAAUUAAGUCUUUAUGAAACCAUUUCAAGUAUGUAGGAUGGGUGAAAUACAACAUCUUUUUCAAAUUCUAUGUUUUUAGAGCGUACUAGGGACAGUGAUUUUCCGUUUCUUUUUCAGAAAUCUGAAAUUCCGUUUCAGCAUGUCUGAAAACGGAAAUUCCGUUUCCCCAUAGACUUUGUGUACAUGAAAAAGUGACAACUCGAUUUACAUAGAAAAAAUCAAUACACAAUGGGUUGCGAUGUCAAAAUGCUCACGCUGGUCAAACUUUGUAUCUAUCACUGUACUAACAACGCUUUAAAAUCAAUUUUAAUCGAAGAGAUUUGAGUGUAAAAACUAUUUCAAGAAACAUAAUUAACAUAAGUUCUUCCUCACCUUUUACAUUAUUAGCAUUAUUUUAUGGUUAAAUGAGAUUUUAUUGCUGAUUUGGGGGACUUUUUGGACAUUGUUUUGAGCAGUCUACGACUUUCGCAUGUCCGCCAUGUUGGAUUUGUUGAAUGUACCGCGAUCAUGAUAUGACCGAACGCAGAGGGCAGCAACACACGGCUGUGUUUCUGCCUUUAUAUGCGGACGUGAGUGUAAACCAAUUUCGAUAGGAUCGAGUGAUGGAGGGCCUCGAGUGCUGCAGUCAUGAUGUGUGGAUUGUCAGGAUUGUUGUAGCGAAGUGAGAUUGUGUUUUUUCUAGUUGAUAUUCAUAUUUCGUUGAGGAUUUGGGAGUAAUUUUUGUUGCUAUUGUGUAUUUUGAGAAAAAGUGUUUUCCGUGAUUUUCCGUUUGAAAAGCCACUUUCUGUUUCAAAAGGCCGAUUCCGUGAAUUCCGUCUGUUUUCCGUGAUCGCGGAAAAUCACUGUCCCUAGCGUACACAACUUUGUUUUUGUAUCUUUUCAUAGUCUUUUUUUAAAUAAAAAUCUUCAAGAGUUGGUUGACCGUUUGUGCGUAGUCCCAUUCAUUGAAUCCUCUGAGAGCUGCUUGUAUCUCUGAGUGACGCCUGACUUGCAGCACUAGUAAAUUAUGGAUUGAUAAAGAAUUUAUUCUGUUGAAAUUAGACUUGAAAAGAGUGAAAGUUGACAUUUUUAAAAACAAACAUGACAAAAUUUAAUAUCCACUCGCUCAAGAUUGCGGAUUUAAUGGUGCUUGACAUAACAACAAAUUUGGCUCAGUAUUUUCAAUGGAGGUGGGAGUAGGGUGAGGACAGGAAAUUUGUGAUUUUCUUGAGUUUACUGACAGAAUAAUUGUGAGUGUAGUAGUGUAUGUGGAUAGUGUUGGUGGUGGUGGGUGGGGGGGGGGGCUCUCACUCCCCUAAAGCUUGCAAUCUGUCUCACCAAAAAUCUACCAAAACAUACAAUCACAAAUAUUUUAUACACACUUCACUGAAAAUCUUACAAGGGAAACUUAUAGGGGUACUCCAGGCUGAAAAUAACAUGAUGUGAACACUUCAGACAAACAAAACAAUUAAAUUUUGACCAAAAUCGGACAAGGAAUAACAAAGUUAUGACAUUACAUAGAUUUGCAUUAUUUCAGUGAAACUUGCAUAUCUUCAUGAAUAUUCAAUGAGCAAACUGAUGAGGUCAUAUUUUUUCCCCCCAAGAACCCCCCCCCCCAAAAAAAAAAAUGGUUUGACAAUUGAAUAAUGCAAUAGACAUUCAUUGCCGCAACUUAUUUUAUCAUAAGGGAGACAUAUAAUUCACACAUAUACAUAUGAAAAAAAUGAAAAAGUUAUGAUUUCGUGUAAUAACAUUUGAAGAAGGAAAGUGGGGAAAUUGUGACAUCAUCAGCCCACCUAAUGACUAUUCAUGAUGACGUGCAUAAUUAAACUGCUCACAAACUAUUGCUAAAUUUUAAUUUUAAUUCAAUAACUUCACAAUUUGUUUUCCAAUUUCGAUGUAAGUUUCAGCAUUUUGCUUUGCGAAUUUUAGAUGUAAUUAUUUUAGGCCCGGAGUACCCCAUUAAUGAAAAGGGAAGCUUACAGUUUACAGUUCAGAUGAUAGGAGGGGGGGGGGGGGGGUGAGGGCAUACUC